UACGGAGGGGGCCAGCGUUGCUCGGAAUUAUUGGGCGUAAAGAGCUCGUAGGCGGUUUGUUGCGUCGGCUGUGAAAUCCCGAGGCUCAACCUCGGGUCUGCAGUCGAUACGAGCAAACUAGAGUGUUGCAGGGGAGACUGGAAUUCCUGGUGUAGCGGUGAAAUGCGCAGAUAUCAGGAGGAACACCGAUGGCGAAGGCAGGUCUCUGGGCAUUAACUGACGCUGAGGAGCGAAAGCAUGGGGAGCGAACAGG
rnacentral:rRNA from 1 species